CGUUGGGGGCCUCCACCUUCUUGUAGCAGCUGGUGCCGUACUCGAGCCAUCCAAAACCACAGAUGUUAGCUGAGGGCACAAUUUGGGGAUCAGGCGGACAGAUCAGAGCACACUGAUUGGCUGGGAAUAAUAGUUAUCUACUCAAUCAGCUUCAAGGAAUGUUUCGCGGAACAUUUUGCGCAAUGGAACGGCGGCUCAAAAACGAAACUAAAGUGAUCAUUGUCGCCGUGCGUUUGUUCUCAUUCCAAGCUGUACCUAUAGCCAGAUAAAACAAAACGGGAGCCGGCUAGGAGGACUUUGAGCGAGGAACUUGGCACCAGCGGAGCCGCCAAAGCAUCUGUCAUUCCUGCAAGAGAAAACGCAAAGACGGACGUCAACGCGCGAUGACGGUCAGUGGAGCGUCACAUCCUACUUACCUUUUGCUCUUUUCUUGCACAUGUAGCCACUCUUGUGGUCGCACGCGUCGGCUUUCCAGUCGCCGCUGCCGGCGAGGAAGGUAAGACAUUUCUCCUCGUUGCCGUCAUCUGGAGGGAGACGAGAUCUAAGCGUUCCUGCCAACUGCAGCCGACAUACAUGCUUUCAGACUGACCUUCAAAGUCUUUGAUUUUCUUGAACAGUGAGCCGUCAGUCCACUUGGCGUCGUCGUCGUCGAAUGGGCUUUUGACGCCCAACCACAGAGAGGCAUCAUCGUCAUCCUCCAGCGCCACAGCCUUGAUGUAACCUUUGGAUCAAAGUAGAACGUCUUUCCGGACCACACUUGCAAUACAACGCGAUGGGUGUGGCGCAUUUCACGACAGCUGCAGCCGUUGUGAAAUGCGCUACGCAUUGGAUAACAAUACUGCAACAAAGACGGUGAAAAUGAUUCCACACAAAAAAAGCAGCCGAGCAACUCUUGCCAUCCACACGACGUGGGCCUGCCUUCUUUUUGCGCCAAUGGUGGGCACGCAGCUUUUGAUGACGGCGUCUGUAGUGUUGCCGUUUUACCCAUACAACUUACAAGAGUAGCAGUAAGAAUCUUUUCAUCUCAGGUUCACUCUAACCUCCUCAUCAUCCAUUUUCUUCUCAUUAUAUUCCUACGAAUUGGAAAACAACGAACGGCCAGCCUACCGUGUACAAAGAUCAGCUCGUGUGAGUCGGUGAUGCUGAGCAGGUUCCCUUCCAGGUGAUGGCAGUGGUCUUGUGCCUCCUGCCAGGUCUUGGUGGGCUGGCGGAUCAUCAGGUAGCAGAAGUCGUUGGAGGGGCCGUCCGUCCACCAGCCGCAUUGGACAGUCCAGCCUGCGAGGGAGACGGACGGACGGCGCAUGAGCGCACAGCGGCGUGUCGACGGCCAGUGCCGGACACCCGGCCACCUACCCGGUUGGCCAACCAAUGGGCAACACGGACGUGCAGUGCAGGCUUACCCUGCGGCCGCUCGCAAACGUACGCCAGCGAGGAAGCGCAGGAACCAGACAUCCACUUCCCAGACUGAUAAUAAGUGCCUUGUUUGACGUAGGCACAGGACGCAACGUCGGUGCUGUCGGGAGAAGUCGUGUUGAGCUGAGGCCCAGUUGGCGUAUGUCGUCGUCUCGCCGCCGGACCAAGUCAGGUUUCCGUCUUCAAAGCGACACCAGAUGUCAUCGCAUUUCUGAGAAGGAAAAAGCCCACAAUCAAGCUCGUCGACGGAGUAGCGCUGCAGAGCCCACGGCCGAUUGUGCUCGCGUCUCACCAGAUUGGAGAGUCCCAGCCAGAAGUGGGCCAUCAUCGUCUUCUUCACAAAGUCUUCCUCGGCCGAGGAAGAGAUGGAGAGCAGGUCCCCGCCCUCCGAGACGCAGUGAUGACGGGCCCCCAGCCAACCGUUGGGGGCCUCCACCUUCUUGUAGCAGCUGGCAUCGUACUCGAGCCAUCCGAAACCACAGCGCUUGGCUGAGGACACAAUUUGGGGAUCGAGCCGGCGGACAGAUCAGAGCACACUGACGACUGGGAAUAGUUUUCCAGUGAGAGAUGAGAUCUGCUCAAUUGCUAUGUUCAUUACCGUUACUGUUACCAACAGUGCCAAAGUCACUUUUGCUGCUUGGGCCGUGACGACGCGCAACGCAAAAAAAAAAAAGAUUCUGCGGAGAGGUCCCUAACUUUCGUUAGGCCCAUGUGAAAUAUACAUUGUGAGACACAGUA